rnacentral:tRNA from 1 species
AGCUGGAUAGCUCAGUUGGUUAGAGCGUGGGACUCAUAAGCCCGAGGUCGGGGGUUCGAAUCCCCCUCCAGCUACCA